rnacentral:lncRNA from 1 species
ACUAUCCAGCAGCAACACAAACUCAUAACAACAGGCAAGCAAGCGAAUUCAAAUGAAACUUCAAUGGAAACAUCUAUAACAUUCAUCAGUCUACAACCACACUUCCAUAACAGAUGUGUAAGUCGAACAUCAGCAGGUCUCAGAAGAGAACACUCUAAUGUCGAGGAGGAGACAAACAAGCCCCCAGUCCAUAAAACAAGGUGCUUCAGCACAGUUCACGGAAUUUCGUACGACAUCAAUCAGGUUGACGCAGAGGGGGCCUCGGCCAUCUCUUGCUCGACGGGAGCCGCCUGGACUGGGUAGUAGUGGUAGUGCAGCUCUCCAACAUCAUCUCCGGACAGCUUCUUCCAGCCGUCAGGGCCAACGUAGUAGACUGAAAUCGAAGCAAAAGAGGUAAUAGUCAGGCAGAAUACGUGAACUCAGGCAGGAGCAGAUGUUCAAGAAGAUCACACAAGUCCCGCUGUCCUACAGGCCUAUCAAGAUUCAAGAAUGGAUCAGGGCUUCAGCAUUACUUGUUCAAUGCUUUAUUAGAUCAUGGAUGCAACAUAAACAUAUCAACCAAGGCAGCUUGGUUUAAAAUUGUAAUGAUAACAGUAUGUCCAGAAUAUAUUGGUAAAGGCUGUUUGCUGUUAUUACUGUUUGCUUCAUAAUGGCAUAAGUAGACAGUUAUGUAAAACAGGGUUAUGUACAAAAUUUCUAAAACAAAUAUCAGGAC